rnacentral:rRNA from 1 species
GGAGUCUAGCAUGUGCGCGAGUCAUUGGGCUUAUAAAGCGAAACCUAAAGGCGAAAUGAAAGUGAAGGCGCGCGUAGCGUGCCUAGGGAGGAUGGGCCGUGAAAAAAUACGGCCUCGCACUCCCGGGGCGUCUCUUUCUGCCUUCACGGGCGAGAUGAGGCGCACCCAGAGCGUACACGCUGGGACCCGAAAGAUGGUGAACUAUGCCUGAUCAGGACGAAGUCAGGGGAAACCCUGAUGGAGGUCCGUAGCGAUUCUGACGUGCAAAUCGAUCGUAAGAAUUGGGUAUAGGGGCGAAAGACUAAUCGAACCAUCUAGUAGCUGGUUCCCUCCGAAGUUUCCCUCAGGAUAGCUGGCACUCGGGAGGAAGAGUCUCAUCUGGUAAAGCGAAUGAUUAGAGGCAUUGGGGUCGAAACGGCCUCAACCUAUUCUCAAACUUUAAAUGGGUGGGAUCUCCGGCUUGCUUAAACGGUGAAGCCGCGAGAUCGGAUCAGAGUGCCAAGUGGGCCAUUUUUGGUAAGCAGAACUGGCGCUGUGGGAUGAACCAAACGUAGAGUUAAAGCGCCUAAAUCGAAGCUUAUGGGAUACCAUGAAAGGCGUUGGUAACUUAAGACAGCAGGACGGUGGCCAUGGAA